rnacentral:rRNA from 1 species
UACGUAGGGGGCAAGCGUUGUCCGGAAUCAUUGGGCGUAAAGAGCGUGUAGGCGGCCCGGUAAGUCCGCUGUGAAAGUCCAGGGCUCAACCCUGGAAUGCCGGUGGAUACUGCAGGGCUAGAGUCCGGAAGAGGCGAGUGGAAUUCCUGGUGUAGCGGUGAAAUGCGCAGAUAUCAGGAGGAACACCGAUGGCGAAGGCAGCUCGCUGGGACGGUACUGACGCUGAGGCGCGAAAGCGUGGGGAGCAAACAGG